GGGGCACAGCCAGUCAGGACAACAACAACAGUCUGAGCGGUGGCCGCUACCGUGCCAUUACCGAGAACAAUUUGUACACCCAGCUAUCCAUUCCACCAAGCCAGCCAGGGAGCGCUCGUAGACGACUGCAGCCCUUGCCGUGGCCACCUGGAGCGCGCAGUGGUUCGUGGUCAGCGCGUCUACCUGAGCUGUGUUGGUGAAACGCCAUGGUUUUCCUCUCGACUAUCUUAACUCUCAUUAUAAUGUUGCUGUUCAUGGAGGUGCCAGGAUGGUUUCUUGGCGUCAUAGGAUUCGGACCGGUGGGAGUAAGAUCGCACAGUGUUGCAGCCAAGUGGCAGUCUCUGCAUCGCGGCCGCAUCAGAAAAGAUGACCUCUUCGCUACACUGCAACAAUGGGGAAUGCUGGGUCUACCUUUCACGGUCAAGAUGUUCCUUGGUUUCGCUGGAAUCAUCGUCCGCUCCAUUCUUCUCCUAUAGGAUUCGGACAGACCUCUUCCAAAUUUACCGUGUGUUGAGAGCCGUGCAGGAAAA